rnacentral:rRNA from 1 species
AGAGUUUGAUCCUGGCUCAGAUUGAACGCUGGCGGCAUGCUUUACACAUGCAAGUCGAGCGGCAGCGCGGGGCAACCUGGCGGCGAGCGGCGAACGGGUGAGUAAUGCAUCGGAACGUGUCCCGUAGUGGGGGAUAACCUGGCGAAAGCCGGACUAAUACCGCAUAUUCUCUACGGAGGAAAGGGGGGGACCCGCAAGGGCCUCUCGCUAUGGGAGCGGCCGAUGCCCGAUUAGCUUGUUGGUGAGGUAAUGGCUUACCAAGGCGACGAUCGGUAGCUGGUCUGAGAGGAUGAUCAGCCACACUGGGACUGAGACACGGCCCAGACUCCUACGGGAGGCAGCAGUGGGGAAUUUUGGACAAUGGGGGCAACCCUGAUCCAGCCAUGCCGCGUGCGGGAAGAGGGCCUUCGGGUUGUAAACCGCUUUUGUCCGGAAAGAAAAGGCGCCACCUAAUACGGGGCGUUCUUGACGGUACCGGAAGAAUAAGCACCGGCUAACUACGUGCCAGCAGCCGCGGUAAU